GCGCGUCCAUGGCCUCGUACCUCCGCCUCUCUGCCUUGGCUGCCUCAAUUUCCCACUGCGGGCGGCGAUAAUCCCCAGCCUGGUGCCAAGGUCCGGCCCCGUCCAGAACUUCCUCCCAGGUCCACUUCUCCCGCCAGUCCAACUCGAAGUCCCUCUGCUCCUUCCUCUGCUGCUUGGUCCAUAGUUGGUGGGUGAUUGUCACGCUUUUCGUCGGUUAAAGAGGACCAAAACGCAGCAGGUAAGUGCAGGCUCAUCUUGACGUUUAUUUAUUUUCAAAAUGAAUACCAAAAUAACAAAACACUAGAACGAACGAACAACAACAACAAACAGUCUGGCAAAGCAUAAGGCUCAACACAGAACAAUCACCCACAAAUAACAAACACAAACACACCCUCAUAUAUGGGACUCUCAAUCAAAGGCAGAUAGACAACACCUGCCUUCAACUGAGAGUCCCAACCCCAAUUAACCAAACAUAGAAACAGACAUACUAGACUAAACAUAGAAUACCUGAAAACCAAACAGUGCCCCAAAACCCCGGAAUACUUAAACCAAAUGCCCCUUCAACAAAACACACCAACCCGAACCACAUAAAACGAAUACCCUCUGCCACGUCCUGACCAAACUACAAUACCAAUUAACCUUAUACUGGCCAGGACGUGACAUAACCAUAAACAUUAAUGCCUUUCUUAAAAUCAAUACACAAGUAUAUAUUUUUAAACCUGCAUAUUUAGUUAAUAUUUCCUGCUAGCAUGAAUUUCUUUUAACUAGGGAAAUUGUGUCACUUCUCUUGCGUUCUGUGCAAGCAGAGUCAGGGUAUAUGCAGCAGUUUGGGCCGCCUGGCUCAUUGCGAACUGUGAAGACCAUUUCUUCCUAACAAAGACCGUCAUUAAUUUGCCAGAAUUGUACAUAAUUAUGACAUAACAUUGAAGGUUGUGCAAUGAAACAGCAAUAUUUAGACUUAGGCAUGCCACCCGUUAGAUAAAAUACAGAACGGUUCCGUAUUUCACUGAAAGAAUAAACGUUUUGUUUUCGAAAUGAUAGUUUCUGGAUUUGACCAUAUUAAUGACCAAAGGCUCGUAUUUCUGUGUGUUAAUUAUAUUACAAUUAAGUCUAUGAAUUGAUAGAGCAGUCUGACUGAGCGGUGUUAGGCAGCAGAAGGCUCGAAAGCAUUCAUUCAAACAGCACUUUCCUCCAUUUACCAGCAGCUCUUCACUGUGCUUCAAGCAUUGCGCUGUUCAUGACUUCAAGCCUAUCAACUCCCGAGAUUAGGCUGGCAAUACUAAAGCACCUAUUAGAACAUCCAAUAGUCGAAGGUACAUGAAAUACAAAUGGUAUAGAGAGAAAUAGUCCUAUAAUAACUACAACCUAAAUCUUCUUACCUGGGAAUAUUGAAGACUCAUGUUAAAAGGAACCACCAGCUUUCAUAUGUUCUCAUGUUCUGAGCAAGGAACUUAAACGUUAGCUUUUUUACAUGGCACAUAUUGCACUUUUACUUUCUUCUCCAACACUUUGUUUUUGCAUUAUUUAAACCAAAUUGAACAUGUUAAUUAUUUAUUUGAGACUAAAUUUAUUUUAUUGAUGUAUUAUAUUAAGUUAAAAUAAGUGUUCAUUCAGUAUUGUUGUAAUUG
rnacentral:lncRNA from 1 species